ACUAUUUCAUAAAGAGAAGAACUCAGAAAGUGGAUUCAGGAAACACAGGAAGAGGAGUCCUGGAGUAUCUCUAGAAAUUUCUCGGUAAAAUCCACAGGACCAGUAUCUGCCACAAUAAGAUGGGCGGCAGCAGCUGUAUCCAUACCCACCGGAGACAGAGCCACGGCCACAGCCAGAACCACAGCCAAGGCCGCCACAGUAGUUACUGUAGUAGCAGCACAAGGUGCCAGCAAUUAAAGGUUCCGUUGAUGGUGGGAACCAGUGUCCUCAAUCCGAAUGCCACCGUCUUCCAGGGCUUUUAUGUAUCUUCAGUGAUGGCUAGAGCAAACCACAGCCAACAACAAAAUUCAACGACAUUCUAGUCUUCAGAAUGAAAGCUCACUUGAAUUAAAACCUUCACCUCUCCUGCCCCUCUUGAGGUUGACUUUAUUGUGCGGAGGUAUGCUUUUGAUUGAAAGGGAAUGACUUCAUCUGUCCUGCGCUGACAUCUGUGUCUGCAUAAUGCAGGUUGCCAGUUUCCAUUGCCAUUAACCAAAAAACUCCUCUGGUCAAUCCAUUACCUGCCAUCCAGUGCUACAUCUUUGUGGCUUUACAGCCAGAAAAGUUUUUCGCUGUGCGAGGGAAAAUCAUGAGCCUGCACUCAAAUCCAUCCGUAGGCACCAAAUGUAUUCUCUACCUGCUGGUGUUGUGUUUCUUGG
rnacentral:lncRNA from 1 species